rnacentral:snRNA from 1 species
GAAAGGAAAGAGUUAUCCACCAUCCCACUGGUCUCCAGGAUAGAUUCAGCUGAUGUGGCUAGCUGGGCAGGUGUCCCCUUCUUCCCUCAGGCUCCAUGUACACCCCCGCUGUACACUCAGUGGAAGAGAACAACCUUUCCCUGAAGGACUUCCCUUCCCUUGUGGGUCUCUGAGCAGCUCUACUCUGCUANUAUAAUCUCCAAAGCAGAGGUUCUCAACCUGUGGGUCACAACCCCUCCAGGGCUUGUACAUCAGAUAUCCUGCCUAUCAGA